AUUGAACGCUGGCGGCAUGCUUUACACAUGCAAGUCGGACGGCAGCGGGGUAGUGCUUGCACUACUGCCGGCGAGUGGCGAACGGGUGAGUAAUAUAUUGGAACGUACCGAGUAAUGGGGGAUAACCAAUCGAAAGAUUGGCUAAUACCGCAUACGCUCUGAGGAGGAAAGCAGGGGACCUUCGGGCCUUGCGUUAUUCGAGCGGCCAAUAUCUGAUUAGCUAGUUGGUGGGGUAAGGGCCUACCAAGGCGACGAUCAGUAGCGGGUCUGAGAGGAUGAUCCGCCACCUGGGGACGGGAACACGGCCCCUACUCCUACGGGAGGCAGCAGUCGGGAAUUUUAGACAAUGGGGGCAAGCCUUGUCCAACCAUGCGGCGUGUCUGAAGAAGGCCUUCGGGUUGUAAAGGACUUUUGUUAGGGAAAAAAAGGGUGCGGUUAAUACCCGUUUCUGCUGACGGUACCUAAAGAAUAAGCACCGGCUAACUACGUG
rnacentral:rRNA from 1 species